rnacentral:rRNA from 1 species
UUUAUUGAGAGUUUGAUCCUGGCUCAGGACGAACGCUGGCGGCGUGCCUAACACAUGCAAGUCGAACGGGGUGCCCUGACGCAAGGCUUCGGCCAAGCGACUGGGUUACCUAGUGGCGGACGGGUGAGUAACGCGUGAGCAACCUGCCCUUCGGUGGGGGAUAACAGCCGGAAACGGCUGCUAAUACCGCAUGAUGUACACGGGAGGCAUCUUCCGUAUACCAAAGAUUUAUCGCCGAAGGAUGGGCUCGCGUCUGAUUAGCUAGUUGGUGAGGUAAAGGCUCACCAAGGCAACGAUCAGUAGCCGGACUGAGAGGUUGAACGGCCACAUUGGGACUGAGACACGGCCCAGACUCCUACGGGAGGCAGCAGUGGGGAAUAUUGGGCAAUGGGGGAAACCCUGACCCAGCAACGCCGCGUGAAGGAAGAAGGCCUUCGGGUUGUAAACUUCUUUGACGAGGGA